rnacentral:misc_RNA from 1 species
UUUUUAUUUUAUACUUUAAACCUUGAAUUUAUUUUUUAAAUGUUUAUAUUAUUUGAAUAAAACAUUCAAAUAAUAUAAAAAAUAAUAUAUAUAUUGACAUGGAUUAUACAAAGAAAUAUAUUAUUCUAUCUUGUAUAAACAAAUUGGCAAAAUAGAGAUGGAAGAUAAAAAUAU